rnacentral:rRNA from 1 species
GUACGGGAGGCAGCAGUGGGGAAUAUUGCACAAUGGGCGAAAGCCUGAUGCAGCAACGCCGCGUGAGCGAUGAAGGCCUUUGGGUCGUAAAGCUCUGUCCUUGGGGAAGAAAAAAAUGACGGUACCCUUGGAGGAAGCCCCGGCUAACUACGUGCCAGCAGCCGCGGUAAUACGUAGGGGGCAAGCGUUAUCCGGAAUUAUUGGGCGUAAAGAGUGCGUAGGUGGUUUUGUAAGCGCGAGGUGAAAGGCAAUAGCUCAACUAUUGUAAGCCUUGCGAACUGCAAGACUUGAGUGCAGGAGAGGAAAGUGGAAUUCCUAGUGUAGCGGUGAAAUGCGUAGAUAUUAGGAGGAACACCAGUGGCGAAGGCGACUUUCUGGACUGUAACUGACACUGAGGCACGAAAGCGUGGGGAGCAAACAGGAUUAGAUACCCCGGUAGG